rnacentral:rRNA from 1 species
AUUGAACGCUGGCGGCAGGCCUAACACAUGCAAGUCGAGCGAGUGGCGGACGGGUGAGUAAUGUCUGGGAAACUGCCCGAUGGAUGGGGAUCACUACUGGAAACGGUCGCUAAUACCGCAUACCAUCGGAUGUGCCCAGAUGGGAUUAGCUAGUAGGUGGGGUACCGGCUCACCUAGGCGACGAUCCCUAGCUGGUCUGAGAGGAUGACCAGUCACACUGGAACUGAGCAACGGUCCAGACUCCUACGGUAGGCAGCAGUGGGGAAGAUUGGACAAUGGGCGCAAGCCUGAUGCAGCCAUGCCGCGUGUAUGAAGAAGGUCUUGGGGUUGUAAAGGAAUUGCAGCGAGGAGGCGUUACUAGAAGAAGAAGCACCGGCUAACUCCGUGCCAGCAGCCGCGGUAAUAC